CCGGUAGCUAAAUGCGGAAGAGAUAAGUGCUGAAAGCAUCUAAGCACGAAACUUGCCCCGAGAUGAGUUCUCCCUGAGACCUUGAGUCUCCUGAAGGAACGUUGAAGACGACGACGUUGAUAGGUCGGGUGUGUAAGCGCAGCGAUGCGUUGAGCUAACCGAUACUAAUGAACCGUGAGGCUUAACCUU
rnacentral:rRNA from 1 species